rnacentral:rRNA from 1 species
CAGCAGCCGCGGGAAUACGUAGGUGGCAAGCGUUGUCCGGAAUUAUUGGGCGUAAAGCGCGCGCAGGCGGAUAGGUCAGUCUGUCUUAAAAACUCGGGGCUUAACCCCGUGAUGGGAUGGAAACUGCCAAUCUAAAGUAUCGGAGAGGAAAGUGGAAUUCCUAGUGUAGCGGUGAAAUGCGUAGAUAUAUGGAGGAACACCAGUGGCGAAGGCGACUCUCUGGACGAAAACUGACGCUGAGGCGCGAAAGCCAGGGGAGCGAACGGGAUUAGAGACCCCUGUAGUCCCUGUCUCUUAUACA